UGAUAACAUAAGGGAAAAUAAUGAUAUUACCUUAUUAUUAGUGUCGUCCAAAUCUGGUGCCAGAAGACUCGGUAAGGCCAGAGACACAAACGUUAAUCGUCUUAAUCAGGCGUAAAGGGUUUGUAGGCGGCUUUAAAAUUUACUUAUACAAAAAUAAUAAGUAAAGAAUAAAAGCUAGAAUCAAAUAGAGGAUAUAUGAAAGAAUGCUUAGAGUAGGUCUGAUAUCCUUAGAUACUAAGUAGAAUAUUAAAGGCGAAAGCUUUUUUCCAUUAAUGAUUGACGCUCAGAAACGAAGGUGAGGAUAGGAAAUAGGAUUAGAUACCCAGAAUACCCCUCUCUGUCAACGAUGAAUGGUAGUUAUUAGUACAAAUUAUUAAUGGCAAUGUUAACACGAUAACCAUUCCGCCUUGUGAGUACAACUGCAAAGUUGAAAACAAAAAAAUUAGUCGGUUUCGGAGCAAACGAAGUGAAGCAUGUUAUUUAA
rnacentral:rRNA from 1 species